rnacentral:lncRNA from 1 species
AUUCAAAAGGAGGAAGGAUUGAUUUGGCCUCAUGGUUUUAUAGGUCUGAGUCCACUGUCUACUGGUCCCAUUGCUACAGAAAGUGGAAACAGCGUAACAGCGGUGCGGAAUGUGGCCGAGCAGAGAUGUUCGCUCCAAGAUGUCUGGGAAGAGUGUUUGGUGAGGCUGAGAGAGUGAUAUAGAGGCUCCAUCUAGGGCUGAACAUUCAAUAAUCAGGUGUAUGGAGUAUAAGACCAGGAUGCUAGACAAUGUUCUUCAUGACCCAUCUGGCCUGCUCAUUCUGGAGUUCUGCCUUGGGGCUGCCAGGCAUCUUCCUACUCCUCACAGACUUGGCAGGGAUAGCUUUCGCUACUUGGCCUGGCACAAGGCCAAGGGGAACAAAGCCAUGCUCUGCUGGAAUUAGUUCCUGGGGUCUGACAGGCUCUGGCUGUCACCAUGGCUCCCACCUCUCUAGAAACGGCUCCAAUCAGGGUGAAGUCUCCAC